rnacentral:lncRNA from 1 species
UGAGGCUCACUUUUCUGUUUCUCAUGAUCACUUAUGUCCGAUUUAAUGUAGCAUACACUCUGCCAACUAAAGUGCCCGAACCAGCUUCAUUUACCUUCCAGUGAAAUGCAGUGGAUGAGAGGGAAUCAUGCACAUAUUCAACUCCUUCAUAGAGAAGGAAUAGAAGUUCGACCUUAUCCAAUCUUCAUCAUACCGAAGGGGAGAUCUUGUUCAAGAGCUGCUCCAAAGACCAGAGUCAAAGAAAAAUGACUCCUGAGUGUCAGGACGUGAUCAGCCUUCUUCAUGGCGCCUAAGAAAUCUCCUCAUUCUCAAAGAAGGAACAACCUAGAGCAUGCACCGUAUUACCUCACAAUGCAAGUCUACUUAAAGGGCUCAUGCCAUGUUCAAGGUCUUUGACUACCUAUAGCUUGAUAUGAUAUUAACUCAUAAUUCACCCAUCCCCAUAUUAAACAUUGAUUCUGCCUUUUCUUUAUUAAAUCAUUGUGGUAGGCAAUGAGUUAGGGGAAUGGGAGAGAAGAUAG